UUUAUCUCUCAGCUCUUAUCAGCUGACCACCAGCCCAAAACUCACCUGGAUCACCGGAAGUGUUUCUGACUGUCAGAAUAGUUUUGUUUUUACCCCAACAAACUGGACAUGUUUUUCUCUUGACUCGUUUCCUGAAAUGAGCUCAUCCACCGGCCGGUAAAGGUCACGUGAUGUCAGAAUGCCUGGAUCCCCAGCCACUUCAGAGCGCCACCCCAACACCAAGGGACAGGAAGUGAGGGACAUGGAGCUGUUUCUGGAUCUGUCAGAGUCUCCUUUUCUUUCCACCUCGUCUGCAGCUUCGGAGCAGCAAGGGGACGGCAGCUGGAGCCAAGACGGAGACCUGCAGGGAUGUGGACAAUUAGAGAGGAAGUGGGUGCUCUGGCACGAGUUCAUGAAAGAACACGCCCACCUGGACACUUGGCUUCGACUGGCCGAGCAGGCUGUCAGUUCCCCCAACUCUGCCCACGUUACCUGCAUCACUGCCAAGGAAGAACUGAGGAAGUUUGAGAGGCUGCGGUGCGAGGCCGGAUCUCGUCUUGUCCAGUUGGACAGUCUGACCCAGAAGAAUCGGACACUGACUCGGCUGUUUCAAGGCGCCAUGCAGGCGCGGCUGCUGGCGAUGGCAAGGGAGUGUGGGCAACGAUGGGACAAUGUGAACGCCAAACUGGAAUCCAUCACCAGACAACUCAAGCUCUUUGUCUCGGAGUGGGAGGGGUUUGAGGCAGAGAGGGAGGAGCUCACUCUCUGGUUGGCUGACCUGGACGUCCGUCUGACCGAUGUCGAUCACCUGACAGGAAACACCUGCGAAAAGCUGAGACAACUGCAGUCCUUCCAGCAGUGUGUGUGUGUGAACUCCGGCCGUGUGAACGUCCUGCUGCAGCGUGGGGAGGCCUUGAUCCAGCGCAGCCAGCCAACUGAUGCUCAGCAUGUGGAGAGUCGGCUGCUGGAGCUGCUGCGGCGCUGCAGCCUCGUCUACAACAACAUCGCCCGAACACACACGCGGCUGCUGAGCAUGAGACUGGUGUUUGAGGAUGACUGGAUUCUAUCUCAGGCUACAGACUCUGGUUGUCCUUCAGAGACUGUAUUAGAGGAAGAGGGAGUGCUUGAUAAAACCAACCUGGACCUCCCUGCUUUAUCAAACCAUCCAAAAGAUUCCAGCCAAUCGGCUAACCACACCCCGGCCUUCUCCUCUCCCAUUCACCUCCCUCCUCAGUCCUCACCUACCCACGAGCACCUGGGGCUGGAGUGGGACCCCUCGGUUGAUGUUGGUCGCUCUGUUUCCUGUGACGAUGCCGACUCGUCGUAUUUCAGUGUCAGCACAGGUCUGUGUCACAGAGAUGGUGUGAAGAGGCGGAGCUACCUCAGCUCCCUCGGCUCUCUGUCUGACAUCAGCAAUGACAUCAACAACCAGGAAACAGAUCUGCGAUUGGAGGGAUGGCUUGACCACGCCCAGCCCAGUGUCUUCCCUCCAGUCGCAACCCAGAGGGGCGGGACUCAGACAAACAGAGACCAGUGGGCGACCUCAACUCCUGACAGACAGGACGGUGAACCAGUCAGCUUUGACGGUGGGCGCGUGAGGGCGUGGCUGGGAGUCCAGAGUCCCGGCCCUCCAGAAAGGAGGACUUCCUGUUCCAGAGCUGUGCAGACGGACGGGCAGGUGGAGGCUGAAGAAGAGCAGUCCUGUUGUGAGGAAGCUGAGCGUCUUCUCUCCGAACAAAGUAUGACCUCCAGCAGCAGGGCCUCGUCCUCCCUGCUCUGCCCAGCCCUCCUCUACCUCCUUCUGGCUGCAGCUCUGGCUCUCCUGGCCUAUCUGAUCUGGGUCGUCCUGGAGCCGCCGUGUCACCGCAGCAGCAGGAUGCAUCGUAGUUUCCACCUGGCACUGAGAUAUGUCAACGGACCCCCGCCUACCUGAGGACCACCCAGAGACAGUUUGACCGAAGCACUUUCCUCAGGCUCGACAGAACAGAGGCAGCUUUUGGUUUCAGUUCAUUUCUCCAAAGAUCAUCUCAUAGUGACUCAUCUUUCUGCAGAGACAUUAUCACAGCCGAGAUCCAGUCUGUAUUUAUUGUAGUAAAGUUGUGUUGUUGGUGUUUGAUGAUGCGUUUUAAAUGCAGUUAGAUUUUAAAAGCCCUUAGUGCUUUUCCAAAGAACAAUAAAUUCACUGUGACCAAAAUAAAACCAUACAUGAUGGAUUAUUUGCAGCUAGUUUUAGUACAGCAGUAGUGCACAGAGUAUAUCUGAUGAUUAUUAAAGGGGCUAAAACAUGAAAAAGAAACAUGGUUUCUGAAAGGGAAGUUUGAUGGUUUAUCUUUUGUUUGUUUGUGGAGUUCUGACUGAUUUUGUACUUUAACUGUCCACUAAGUGUCAAUAAUGUCACGCUCCAGCAGGAACAAGGUGCUGCCUGCUUUAUUAUUGUGUGUUUAAAGGGACUGAAGAGUUUUGUGUUCCCAGCAUCAUGUAACAGCUGUGAGAGACCACCUGUGUGUGACUGCAGCUCAGUCAGUGACUUGUUAAAACCCAAAUGUCUCAGGGGAAGGUUCUUAAAACAAGUAGAUUUCAGGAGGAUCAAUAGUUGUUAAAGCUGGCGUCCGUGGGCUGUGUCAUGAUGAUGAUGAUGAUGAUGAUGAUGGUGAUGAUGAUGAUAACGUGUUUUGAGCCUUUUGAGGUUGAGAGAAUCAUUGAAAAGGGAACUUUGUAAACCAACUGCCAUCUAAAUAUUUCACUGUUUUUUAGUUGAAGGUUUGUUUUUUUGGUCAUUGUUAAAUAUUUCAAAAACAGAUCCAAUCAGAUGUUCUUGCUUUUGUACUUGUUUGAAGAUGAAUAAAAUGAACUGUAUGAAA